UGAUUGGCAGUAUUGAAUAACAUAGCCUCUUCUAAAAAUGGUAGCAUUUGAUUACAUUAUUUUGUGAAUGUUUGUGAGAUAAAAGGGUGUGUAUGCAAGUGUGUUUCGUGUUUAAAUAGUGAAAUGUGAUUGUGUUCCUUCUAUAAUUAGUGCAAUAGGAUCGUUAUCUCCAGAGGAUUUAAACAUGUAUCCAAUUCAGGUUGCUGUAGCUACCUACCUCUUCAUAUGCAUUAUCUCUAGUAUAGUAGCCCAAGUGCCUCAAAGAUUCACUGCCCAAAACCCGUGCACUUCCAAAUCAACUUGCCAAGAAUGUAUUCAGACUCCUUCGUGUGCAUGGUGCUAUGAUCCUGAAUUUAGUGGUAGUGCUCGAUGUUUCCAACCGUCAUUCCCUAUAGCCCCCAAAGAUCAGUGCAAGGAAGAGUUUGUGUUCAAUCCUGAUAACACAAUGAGUGUUAUUAGUAAUUUAGAGCUUUC